rnacentral:rRNA from 1 species
AGUGAACGCUGGCGGUAGGCCUAACACAUGCAAGUCGAACGGCAGCACAGUAAGAGCUUGCUCUUACGGGUGGCGAGUGGCGGACGGGUGAGGAAUACAUCGGAAUCUACUUUUUCGUGGGGGAUAACGGAGGGAAACUUACGCUAAUACCGCAUACGACCUACGGGUGAAAGCAGUGGAUCUUCGGACCUUUCGCGAUUGAAUGAGCCGAUGCCGGAUUAGCUAGUUGGCGGGGUAAAGGCCCACCAAGGCGACGAUCCGUAGCUGGCCUGAGAGGAUGAUCAGCCACACUGGAACUGAGACACGGUCCAGACUCCUACGGGAGGCAGCAGUAGGGAAUAUUGGACAAUGGGCGCAAGCCUGAUCCAGCCAUACCGCGUGGGUGAAGAAGGCCUUCGGGUUGUAAAGCUCUUUUGUUGGGAAAGAAAAGCAGCAGGUUAAUACCCCGCUGUUCUGACGGUACCCAAAGAAUAAGCACCGGCUAACUUCGUG